GCUGAUAUGGCUCAGUUGGUAGAGCGCAUCCUUGGUAAGGGUGAGGUCCCCAGUUCGACUCUGGGUAUCAGCACCA
rnacentral:tRNA from 4 species